AUACUUACCUGUCGUAGGAAUACCGUGAUCAUGCAAGCGGUUCCCCCAGGGUGAGGCUGCUCCAUUGCACUGCGGAGUGGUUGACCUUUGCCGAUUAUUUUUAUUUUUUAUCAGUUUCACUUCUACCGUGUGUGACUUGC
rnacentral:snRNA from 9 species